ACAAAACAUGGAUUGUGAACCAAUUGUUUGAGCAAACAAUUCUAGAUGUGAUUUGUUGUCAAUUCCUAGGCAGUGCCUAAGAUAGUAUGAACCUUAUAAUGUGUUUUUCAGAUGAUUGCCCUUUUUUCUUAAAGAACAAGACCAUUUGGGAUAGUUGGGGGUAAAAACAAUAGGACUUGCUUUGAGGUGGAAGAUUAUCUUAUUUCUUUCUAGAGCUUGUGAAAGAUGGUCCACGUUGCUUUGAUUCAUAUUUUCCGAAAGGUGGAUCCCACUAUGAUAGCUUUGAAUAAAUUAAAUACAUGCAUUAAGAUAUAAAGACUUCGUUUUCCACAACAAUGAAAGCACUUUUGAACUCAGAAAGAAAUGCUGCAUAAUAAAUUGUGGUCCAUACGCUUAACUGAUGUGGUUGGUAAAACUUGAUAGAUGCAUAUGCAUACUGGCCCUGAUGAUUUUUUGGUCUUUUGCCUUGUGAAUGACUAU
rnacentral:misc_RNA from 1 species